AUGAACGGGCUGGGGGCGGAGGAUUCAAGCUGGAACUCACAAGCCACCGCCCCCUCACCCCCUCCCAGACACACGUGGACACGCGGAUUCACACCUCACACUCCUGCAUGCUUAAACAGGCAGACACACACAUGCACAGGCAGGUGCACACAACAUAUACGCACACGUCCAGGCAUGUUAUUACUGACCACUGAAGCUGCCAGCAGUCUGUGCUGUGGGGUCUCCGCCCCUCCUUCUGCCGUCAGAGCUGUCACUCGUGAGGGACAGCACAUCUAAGACAUCGACAGUAUUGGACGGGGUGAAACUUGAAGUACGAAUUGCCAUUGAACGUGGAGAACCUGCGUCUGUUUGAGCUCACUUGCUGGGAGCAGACGCGGAGGCCUGCUCUAACGCAUCCCGUCGGCGGGCCAAGCUACCGAGGGACCCUGCAAAUGCCUCUCACUUUAAUCACGUUUCACUUUUAAUUAGUCAAAUUACUUUAUGAUUACCUUGAUGACAAUUCACAGGAACCAGGUGAUUUUACUCACGUCGAACCUCUACUGCCCUGUCCAGGUUUUGCUGUGUGGCGAUCGCGAUGGGGCUGGAGGCACUGGCGAGCCCCGUGGAGGAAAAGUCAUUGAUUCUGGCCGUCGAGGUUUGACAGGCGUGAGUCUGAACCGUUUUAAUGUGUCUUUAUGACGGCAGAGGAGGCAGGGCCUGAGCAAGUUGAGAAGAGACUUUAUCUCGAGACCAGGAGCUGCAGGCAGCAGAGUGGCUGUGAUGGAAUCAUCCCAUCGAAAACAAAUCAAUUGGUGAUAUUUUGAAAAUUGUUAAAAAGGUUAAAACUUGUUCUAUCCCCCAAAGGCCACGUAAUACAGGUGGGGCUGGCUCUACAUCAGGUGCUGGUGCUGGGGAGAAAGUCGUGUCUUGCUCACGUGGAGUGAGGGCAAGAAGAGUGUGCUGGUUAAGAGCACGGCUUCCAACUUUGAGACCUUGCGCAAGCUGCCUAAACGCUCCAAGCCUUGAUUUAUGCAUCUAUAAAAUGGGAACAAUGAUAUUGUCUACCUUCCUGGGCUCUGGUGAGGGUCUCAUGGCGUUGUUCCUUAAAGUCCAGAGCAUGGUGUGCAC
rnacentral:lncRNA from 1 species